rnacentral:rRNA from 1 species
AUUGAACGCUGGCGGCAGGCCUAACACAUGCAAGUCGAACGAGUGGCGGACGGGUGAGUAAUGUCUGGGAAACUGCCUGAUGGAGGGGGAUAACUACUGGAAACGGUAGCUAAUACCGCAUACCAUCGGAUGUCCCCAGAUGGGAUUAGCUAGUUGGGGGGGUAACGGCUCACCUAGGCGACGAUCCCUAGAUGAUCUGAGAGGAUGACCAGCAACACUGGAACUGAGACACGGUCCAGAAUCCUACGGGAGGCAGCAGUGGGGAAUAUUGCACAAUGGGCGGAAGCCUGAUGCAGCCAUGCCGAGUGUAUGAAGAAGGCCUUCGGGUUGUAAAGUACUUUCAGAGGGGAGGCGUUACCCGCAGAAGAAGCAACGGCUAACUCCGUGCCAGCAGCCGCGGUAAUUC